UUGGCCGGGCGACGGUUGUCCCGGUUUAAGCGUGUAGGUGUGUGUUCCAGGUAAAUCCGGUUCACUUUAACACUGAGGCGUGACGACGAGGCACUACGGUGCUGAAGCAACAAAUGCCCUGCUUCCAGGAAAAGCCUCUAAGCAUCAGGUAACAUCAAAUCGUACCCCAAACCGACACAGGUGGUCAGGUAGAGAAUACCAAGGCGCUUGAGAGAACUCGGGUGAAGGAACUAGGCAAAAUGGUGCCGUAACUUCGGGAGAAGGCACGCUGACACGUAGGUGAAGUGAUUUACUCAUGGAGCUGAAGUCAGUCGAAGAUACCAGCUGGCUGCAACUGUUUAUUAAAAACACAGCACUGUGCAAACACGAAAGUGGACGUAUACGGUGUGACGCCUGCCCGGUGCCGGAAGGUUAAUUGAUGGGGUCAGCGCAAGCGAAGCUCCUGAUCGAAGCCCCGGUAAACGGCGGCCGUAACUAUAACGGUCCUAAGGUAGCGAAAUUCCUUGUCGGGUAAGUUCCGACCUGCACGAAUGGCGUAAUGAUGGCCAGGCUGUCUCCACCCGAGACUCAGUGAAAUUGAACUCGCUGUGAAGAUGCAGUGUACCCGCGGCAAGACGGAAAGACCCCGUGAACCUUUACUAUAGCUUGACACUGAACAUUGAGCCUUGAUGUGUAGGAUAGGUGGGAGGCUUUGAAGUGUGGACGCCAGUCUGCAUGGAGCCGACCUUGAAAUACCACCCUUUAAUGUUUGAUGUUCUAACGUGGACCCGUUACCCGGGUUGCGGACAGUGUCUGGUGGGUAGUUUGACUGGGGCGGUCUCCUCCUAAAGAGUAACGGAGGAGCACGAAGGUUGGCUAAUCCUGGUCGGACAUCAGGAGGUUAGUGCAAUGGCAUAAGCCAGCUUGACUGCGAGCGUGACGGCGCGAGCAGGUGCGAAAGCAGGUCAUAGUGAUCCGGUGGUUCUGAAUGGAAGGGCCAUCGCUCAACGGAUAAAAGGUACUCCGGGGAUAACAGGCUGAUACCGCCCAAGAGUUCAUAUCGACGGCGGUGUUUGGCACCUCGAUGUCGGCUCAUCACAUCCUGGGGCUGAAGUAGGUCCCAAGGGUAUGGCUGUUCGCCAUUUAAAGUGGUACGCGAGCUGGGUUUAGAACGUCGUGAGACAGUUCGGUCCCUAUCUGCCGUGGGCGCUGGAGAACUGAGGGGGGCUGCUCCUAGUACGAGAGGACCGGAGUGGACGCAUCACUGGUGUUCGGGUUGUCAUGCCAAUGGCACUGCCCGGUAGCUAAAUGCGGAAGAGAUAAGUGCUGAAAGCAUCUAAGCACGAAACUUGCCCCGAGAUGAGUUCUCCCUGAGACUUUAGGUCUCCUGAAGGAACGUUGAAGACGACGAC
rnacentral:rRNA from 1 species